rnacentral:rRNA from 1 species
GGAUUGGUGCCUUCGGGAACUCUGAGACAGGUGCUGCAUGGCUGUCGUCAGCUCGUGUUGUGAAAUGUUGGGUUAAGUCCCGCAACGAGCGCAACCCUUAUCCUUUGUUGCCAGCGGUUCGGCCGGGAACUCAAAGGAGACUGCCAGUGAUAAACUGGAGGAAGGUGGGGAUGACGUCAAGUCAUCAUGGCCCUUACGAGUAGGGCUACACACGUGCUACAAUGGCAUAUACAAAGAGAAGCGACCUCGCGAGAGCAAGCGGACCUCAUAAAGUAYGUCGUAGUCCGGAUUGGAGUCUGCAACUCGACUCCAUGAAGUCGGAAUCGCUAGUAAUCGUAGAUCAGAAUGCUACGGUGAAUACGUUCCCGGGUCUUGUACACAC